AUCCAGCUGAUGAGUCCCAAAAUGGACGGGAACGCACGUCCUGGAU
rnacentral:hammerhead_ribozyme from 1 species